rfam:Sutterella wadsworthensis 2_1_59BFAA genomic scaffold supercont1.10, whole genome shotgun sequence.
GGGGGCGCCUUGGCUUCGACGGGGACGCGGACGCUGUAUGGGGCAUGUCGAGGUGCAGUCACCUCGUAAAUCCGCUGCAAACAAUUAAACGCCAACAACAAGCGUUUCGCUCUCGCUGCUUAAUGCGAGAUGCUGCACCGGUUUGUCUCUGGGCCGGGUCGAGCAAUCGACAGCAGUAUCAUUUGACAGAGUCUAGGAUGUGCGGGCGUCACCGACGCGCUUCCGAAAUCAAGGUGACUGGCUGGAUGCCGGCCCGCCGCUCGGCAGGGCAUCCGGUGAGAUUCAAAUCAUGCGGCUAAGCAUGUAGACCCAACAGAAAAAGGUUUCCGGACGCGGGUUCAACUCCCGCCGCCUCCACCA